AACCCAGCAAACGUGAUGCGACAGCCCUGUCUACAGACACUGCUGCCACUGGGGGAUUUGGGGACGCAUCCCAGGAGCAGGUGAACUCAGAGGAGUUCCAGGCGCUCCUGGAUGCUACGAUGAGUAGGUCAGUUACACAGGCCAUUUUUACCGCCAUGGGGGCGAUGUCGGACACCCUGUCCCACUCUAUCUCCUCCGCUAUCAGGGCAUCCAGCCACACCCCUGGCUCUGCACCCCCUAUAUCCUCUGAUAACAAGCCACUAGUCCCUAGCGGCCGCAAGGCUACGUGCAAAUCGCACCAUCUGCCAGGUGCUACCUCCAAAACCAGUAAGACGGACAGGUUGCGCCCUGUUGAGAUUGAUGACGUGGUGCUCCCACGUAAAAGAGCCCCC